CCUACGGGUGGCUGCAGUCGAGAAUCUUCCCCAAUGGCCGAAAGGCUGAGGGAGCGACGCCGCGUGCAGGAAGACGCCCUUCGGGGUGUAAACUGCUUUUCUUCGAGAACAACUCUGAGUGUACCGAAGGAAUAAGGGGCUGCUAACUUCGUGCCAGCAGCAGCGGUAAUACGAAGGCCCCGAGCGUUAUCCGGAUUUAUUGGGCGUAAAGCGUUCAACGGCGGCUAGGUACGUCGUUGGUCAAAUCCGGGGGCUCAACCCCCGGACCGCCAACGAAACCGCCUGGCUUGAGGCCGGAAGAGGCACACGGAACUACCGGUGUAGUGGUAAAAUGCGUUAAUAUCGGUAGGAACACCAAAGGCGAAGGCAGUGUGCUGGUACGGUCCUGACGCUAAAGAACGAAAGCGUGGGGAGCGAAUGGGAUUAGAUACCCUAGUAGUCCA
rnacentral:rRNA from 1 species